GCUGACGCCUGCCCAGUGCUGGAAGGUUAAAAGGAGGACUUAGCUUCGGCGAAGGUCUUAAUUGAAGCCCCAGUGAACGGCGGCCGUAACUAUAACGGUCCUAAGGUAGCGAAAUUCCUUGUCGGGUAAGUUCCGACCCGCAUGAAAGGCGUAAUGAUUUGGGCGCUGUCUCAACAAUAGACUCGGUGAAAUUUAAAUUCCAGUGAAGAUGCUGGGUACCCGCGACAGGACGGAAAGACCCCGUGGAGCUUUACUGUAGCUUGAUAUUGAAUGUUUGUGCUGCAUGUGCAGGAUAGGUAGGAGACUUUGAAGUCGGAACGCUAGUUUCGAUUGAGUCACCCUUGAGAUACUACCUCUGUUGUAUGAACGUUCUAACUCUGAUCAGUUAUCCUGAUCGAAGACAGUGUCUGGCAGGCAGUUUGACUGGGGCGGUCGCCUCCUAAAAGAUAACGGAGGCGCUCAAAGGUUUGCUCAGAAUGGUUGGAAAUCAUUCGUAGCGUGUAAAGGCAUAAGCAAGCUUGACUGUGAGACUGACAAGUCGAGCAGGUACGAAAGUAGGACUUAGUGAUCCGGUGGUUCCGUAUGGA
rnacentral:rRNA from 1 species